GGCUGGAUCGUGUAGUGGUUACAUAUCCUUCUAUUCUGCCAUUGCACUCUCGGAAGAAUUACAAAGGAAGUCCCUGGUUCAAGUUCCCGGUUCAAUUCCGAGUCUGGCCA